GAUGAAAACGCAGCGAAAUGCGAUAAGUAAUGCGAAUUGCAGAAUUCAGUGAGUCAUCGAAUCUUUGAACGCACAUUGCGCCCUGUGGUAUUCCGCAGGGCAUGCCUGUUCGAGCGUCAUUUCAACCCUCAAGCUCUGCUUGGUGUUGGGCCCUGCCCGCUGCGGCCGGCCCUAAAGACAGUGGCGGUGCCGCCUGGCCCUGAGCGUAGUACAUCUCUCGCUCCAGUGCCCGGUGGUAGCCUGCCAGAACCCCAACUCUCGUGGUUGACCUCGGAUCAGGUAGGGAUACCCGCUGAACUUAAGCAUAUCAAUAAGCGGAGGA
rnacentral:misc_RNA from 1 species